rnacentral:rRNA from 1 species
CCGGCGCACGGGUGAGUAACACGUAUGCAACCUGGCCGUCACAGGUGGAUAACCGGAAGAAAUUCCGACUAAUACAGCAUAGCACUCCUGAGGGACAUCCUUCGGGAGUCAAAGGAGGCAACUCCGGUGACGGAUGGGCAUGCGGCGCAUUAGGUAGUUGGUAGGGUAACGGCCUACCAAGCCGACGAUGCGUAGGGGUUCUGAGAGGAAGGUCCCCCACAUUGGAACUGAGACACGGUCCAAACUCCUACGGAAGGCAGCAG